rnacentral:rRNA from 1 species
AGGUUGACCUCGGAUCAGGUAGGAAUACCCGCUGAACUUAAGCAUAUCAAAGCCGGGGAGGGAAAA